rnacentral:rRNA from 1 species
CCUACGGGUGGCAGCAGUGGGGAAUAUUGCACAAUGGGGGAAACCCUGAUGCAGCGACGCCGCGUGAGUGAAGAAGUAUUUCGGUACGUAAAGCUCUAUCAGCAGGGAAGAAAAUGACGGUACCUGACUAAGAAGCCCCGGCUAACUACGUGCCAGCAGCCGCGGUAAUACGUAGGGGGCAAGCGUUAUCCGGAUGUACUGGGUGUAAAGGGAGCGUAGACGGCAGCGCAAGUCUGGAGUGAAAUCCCAUGGCUUAACCAUGGAACUGCUUUGGAAACUGUGCAGCUAGAGUGCAGGAGAGGUAAGCGGAAUUCCUAGUGUAGCGGUGAAAUGCGUAGAUAUUAGGAGGAACACCAGUGGUGAAGGCGGCUUACUGGACUGUAACUGACGUUGAGGCUCGAAAGCGUGGGGAGCAAACAGGAUUAGAUACCCGAGUAGUC